UAGCCAAUUUAAAAGGCAAGGGAAAAACUCAGAGAAGAGGUCCACGACCCCUGCUUGUCAAAGAGUACAAGCAUCGACCAAAAGGGGGGUCGAUUACAACAAUCAAUUCGCAAAUUCGUGAUAUUAAAGCUGUAUUCUACCAUCCUCCAUCGAUUUUUAGGUUUCCUGCAUGGAAACCCUGACUGAUAUGCUAGGAUGAUUCAAAGCACUUAUAGGAUUCUUGGUUCUUGAUUUGACCAAGGUGAGUGACUCUGUUUGUUCUUUGAUGAUAAUGAUAAAUAUGAUUAGUAUUAAGUUAUGGGAAUCAUCAUUAUUAUCUUAGGUAAAAUGCAUUAAAACAUUUUGGGUUGCAAAUAGACGGGUGGAUAUGAAUUGUUAAUAUAUUGGCAUCACGAUGAUUAUUGUGAUAACAAAUAAGAUUUGGAACACGAAGAGAAAUUGUUUAAAAAGAGAAUUUGUGUGGAACUGUGAUUUUAUAAGGUUGUGAUAUUGGGGAGCAAAUCCAAAUAUAAUUAGAGAAAUUAUAGUAUAAGAGUUAAUUUUUAUGUGUAAUGUUCUCUGUGUCAAUUAUAAUAAACUUUGUUAAUGCAUUUAUACGAGUACUAAUGGGAUAAUGAAGUUUGAAAUCAUGGGGUAUAGUGGGGGUACUCAGCUGAUACACAAUCCCAACAAAUACAAGUUAAGUGGAGUUUUAAUCAUCGUGCAAGUAAGUGAUUCUAAUUGUGCAUUUUUGUGAGUUCCUAUCAUGUUGUUAAUAUCUCUAAUAUAUGUAAGACUUGGGGAUUUAAGGCUGGUGUGUCAGUAUAUGUUAUUUUGUGAAUGAACUAUACGCUAUGGAGCAUAGAGUCUGUCACACAUAAUAUGAAAUUAAAAGUCACAAGGUUUUUAACUAAAUGAUAAAUAUAACGAACUACAUAAUUUGUGUGACAGAAGGAGUAAUGGAAUCAUAGAUUUGUGUCUCAAGUGUCCGUUUAUGAUUUACACGAGUUGUGUUAAUAUUGUUGAACAAGUUGAAGUGGCAAGUAAGUGUAAUUAUUCUUUGAGUCACGAGUUAGUGGUAAAGUUAAUUUACAAUCAUGUAAAAAAAAAGGACUGGUGCGUUAAUCUAAGAUAUGAUGGAGUUAUAACUUAUAAAGUUAGCUGAAAGCUUGUAUAUUAUUAUGACGAUUGUUCCUUCUAACUGGACGUUGUUGUUUUCUAAUCAAUAACAGAUGAAUUAUUAGUACUAUAUUUGUGUUUUAGCAUUUCUCAACAGGUGGGAAGAUGAGACAAAGUUGUUAUUGGUAGGAACAAUAGCAAGUAGCCGAAACAUAGAUAAAACAACAAAGUUGAGUGUAAUCUACGUUGGCUUAGCAUAGGCUAUGCCAGAUCGGCGUAGACUACGUUGGUAUGCUUCUGAGCUACACCGGUUUGUAUGGCGGCCACCCACUUCUUGUCAUGGUGUACCAUACCUUACCCCCGGUGUAUAUUAUGGCGCUAUUGUUUUCGUUUGAUCGGGUCAACUUUCUUAUAUGAUGUGUUAUAGAGUAUUUUUCUAGCGUUGCUUUAGUUAAAAGGUCAUGGUCGCAUGUGUUAUUGAGUCACGUUUAUAUUUAGUGGAUUAUUUGGUUAUUAAAGAUGUUUUGUUCUUCGUAA